GUGUGAAGUUCGACAGCAGAUCGCAAAGCGACGUGGCACAGUGGGCACCAGUGAGCCUGUCAAGACAGCGCCUGGCAUCCAAGAGGGCCCAGGGCUAUGAUGUGCCAGUGGCGAGAGGGCGUGGCCUUGGUUCUCGCUCCUCGCCUGCGUGGGACGGCCUUGUGGCCAGCGGGGUUCAUCCCUGCGCGGUUUCCUGCUGCCUGGUUCUGCUGAUGUGAAGCNCGUGGUGGAGGUCGCCGAGGGCGCCAGGCAUGGAUUCGGAGGACCGGGGCCUGGACCCCCCCAGCCCAGGCUGGGCUGCUCCGGCGCAGAAGGUUGUGGUGAAGGCGGAACCAGAGGAGGAGGUGCGCAUCGGGUGCCCGGNGGUCCCAGCUGAGGAGGAGCAGAAGGCGUCCUCUGACCCCACNGCAGGUGAGGAGAGCAGGUGUUUCUGCCUUGCGGCCGGAGGGUGGACAUGGGGGUCCGGCCCCUCAGCUGCCCCCCCACUCCUCCUUCGCUCAAGGGUUCGUUUGCCAGUCGGACCGGGUGCAGAGGAGGAGAUUUGCUGACUGUGGCGAACGAGCCCAAGGCACGCUUCGUCCGAGGAAGCCGCAGAGCAGCGUCCGUCUCAACGGUCCACAGUCAGAAACCAAACACCACUAGCGCAGGUCCUUAGGCAAGACCCACGCGGGCGUGAGGAACACGCCAGGGUCGGAGNGCUGGAUUUGGCCCAGGAGCAGGGCAGCGCCUCCUGGCCCGUGAGGACUUCAAGGCCGGGAAAUGCAAGUUUAGAUACGGGCCUGUUAAAGGAAGUGCUGGCCAUGGCCCCAGAAGCAGGCCAUUUGGGAGCCUCCGCGUAGCGGCGCUGGGCUGUCCACAGCCGUGGGGCCUCGGCAUGAUGGCUGCAGGAGCGCGUGAGGCCUGUGCUCGGUUUUGCAGAGCGGGGCGUAUUGCUGCCAGGAGUGGAUUCUGCCCCUGGAGCAGUCUGGGUGCCUGUCGUGGGCCUGAAUACUGCCGGAGCACUGAUAAGGAUGGGCUGUCGAAAGAGGAUAUCGUUUGUUGAAUGACAGGGAGCAAGUAAGGAAAUAAACUUAGAUGUCAGCCUACUCCUCUUGUUGAG
rnacentral:lncRNA from 1 species